rnacentral:rRNA from 1 species
AACGAACGCUGGCGGCGUGCCUAACACACGCAAGUCGGACGAGAAAGUUUCCUUCGGGAAGCGAGUAAAGUGGCGCACGGGUGAGUAACACGUAGACAACCUGCCUUCUAGUCCGGGACAACCUUUCGAAAGAAGGGCUAAUACCGGAUAACACUUUGGGCCGCAUGGCCUGGGGUUGAAAGAUUUAUCGCUGGAAGAGGGGUCUGCGGGACAUUAGCUAGUUGGC